rnacentral:lncRNA from 1 species
CUCUCUUUCUUUCCUUUCCAUUUUUCUUUCUCUUUUUCUUUAUCUUUUUCUAGACUUUUUUUCAUCUUUUCUUCCUCAUUUUCACACCAACUCUCAUCCAAAAUUGGGCAUGGAACCAAGGUGUAGCGCCCCCUAUUUAACGCCCCCUUUAAAUAGGUAACAAAGGGGUGCCACAUCAUCUCCAUGGGAUGCCAACUUUUGGCAUCCCAACUUCUCCACACGGUAAAAAUAAAAUAUCACAUUAAAAUAAUGUGUGAGGAAGUCAGGAGUAGAAGGACUCUUCCUUAUCUGGUCCCAUAAAAAUUGAUGUGUAAUAAUUAAGAGCAAUAGGAGAAGAAAAAUAUUUGCCGCAAAUAAAUCCCAUGCAUUAUCACCUAGUCUUCCACAAAGAAUAAAUUCUUCAUAUAGAAGUUCUAGGUGUGGAAGAGCCUUCAAGUAGAAGGACUCCUCCACUUCUGUGCCAACACAUCUCCAGGAGCCAUCACAUGGUGCAUGGAGUAAAAGAAAUGCGUGGAAAAGAGAGG